UUGAACGCUGGCGGCAGGCCUAACACAUGCCAGUCGAGCGGAUGAAGGGAGCUUGCUCCUGGAUUCAGCGGCGGACGGGUGAGUAAUGCCUAGGAAUCUGCCUGGUAGUGGGGGAUAACGUCCGGAAACGGGCGCUAAUACCGCAUACGUCCUGAGGGAGAAAGUGGGGGAUCUUCGGACCUCACGCUAUCAGAUGAGCCUAGGUCGGAUUAGCUAGUUGGUGGGGUAAAGGCCUACCAAGGCGACGAUCCGUAACUGGUCUGAGAGGAUGAUCAGUCACACUGGAACUGAGACACGGUCCAGACUCCUACGGGAGGCAGCAGUGGGGAAUAUUGGACAAUGGGCGAAAGCCUGAUCCAGCCAUGCCGCGUGUGUGAAGAAGGUCUUCGGAUUGUAAAGCACUUUAAGUUGGGAGGAAGGGCAGUAAGUUAAUACCUUGCUGUUUUGACGGUACCAACAGAAUAAGCACCGGCUAACUUCGUG
rnacentral:rRNA from 1 species